UCUAGGUGGCAGAGGACUCCAGGAAUAGGUAGGGUCGAGCACUCCUUCGGAGCCCUCCUCCGCUCAGGAGUAGCGCUCCUUCGGCGCCUUCCUCCUCGAGUUGGCCCGCAGCGGCCUGUCUCUUCCUCCUCUCCGCGCCUACGGACGGUCCCUCCGCCUAGCCGAGCAGAGGCGCCGACCUUUCCCGAGCCACAAUGUUAAUGUUGUACCCCGAAGUUCACAGAUAAUGAUACCUUGUGGUUAUAGGCACGUAAAAUCAAUGCUGAUUCACGGUGUGGUUACUUACACUUACAGACAAGUCCAUUAUUCAUAGUGCUAAUCGUUAAAGCCAAACAGGGGUAUCAGAUACACACAGGGUACAGGAAAGUCGUGGAAGACGAUAAAAGGACGUAAAAAGAAGGGAAGACGACGUCUAAUUUACUGACUUUCGUUUGUUUAUCAAUAAGACCUGAUAAGUCUAAUAGUUCAUGUCAUAUGACGUUGUAUAGUCGAAGAAUUUAAAGACAACGUUGGAUCGUAUAUGGUCGUAUUUUUUCAAAGAAAACGAGUAGUACAUAUAAUACAAGGAGAUUUAGUGCACAUGGUAAAAGUCCAUAAUUAUCACGUCAUGAUGUACUUCCGUUAUACAAUCGUAUAAUCACAGGUAGAACCAAGACCACUUAACUAAACCCUUGAGAACUUUAGACAAAGAACAUAUAACCGGUACUAUUGAGAAGUGGACUGUAAGACGUUACCGAAGGUCGGUCCCAAAAGAACAACGACGAUAAGGAGCACCUAUAAGUUCUCCGUUGAACCGUGGAUUACAGUUGUCGUACGAAUAACCACUGCUCACUUUACUUUCUUCCGACGUUACCUUAAACAUAAUCCGUAGACAAGAAGUUUACUCCGAGGUUGUACUCGUUCCCGUACCAAACGUCUACUACAUAGAUGAAAUACACACAGUUUUCUCGGGAGGCUGCGGGUCGGCGACCACAGAGACGGGCUUCUUCCUAGUACCAAGGGGUGGAGAGAUGUUGAGUAUAAUUUUAAAACCAUAUAAGAAAAGAAUGAAAUAAAGGGCACUUGUUUUUCAACCUUGGAUAAGAAUUAAAGGGUAUCACCAAAACUACCAUAAACCAGUCACACAAGGACCGACCUUAACGUACAUAUAGAAUGUAUAAAUUUAACGUUGUUAAUUAUUCCUCUUAUCUUCGUAAACGUAGCAGAUUAUGAAACGGACGGUACGAAUCGCUCUUAAGUUUUAUCACUGGAAACCUAUAGUUAAUACCCAAACAUUAAAACACGGUCCUGGAUUUUCGUAAAAACAGAGUACGAAGCU
rnacentral:rRNA from 1 species